rnacentral:lncRNA from 1 species
UUUUCACAGAACCAUGCUGCAACGGACUUAUAGCUUUUGGCUCCAAACCAAUCUGAGAACCGUUAUUAUGUGAUGCUCAUGUUUGUCUGUUGUGCGUGACUAGAAAGAUAUUGCUGCUUUGAUCUUGGAGGACCAUUCUGCAAUGUACUCGUAGCAUUUCUUAUUCCUGACCCUACUAAAGAGCCAUUUUGGAGUGAAAUUAUCACGUUUUCUUGAGAUUGAGGAACCCUUUGCUGUGUAAAUGAUAGAGGUGAACCAAGAUGAGUGCAUGUCGAGCCUUGACGCAAUGGAUUAAAAUGCACUUCUGUGAUUCUAUUCUGAUGCUGCUGAGAUCUUACAGAAUGGCUACCAGGUGGAUGAAGUUGUUCAUGAUGCUGUACAUUUGCAAAAUUCUUGCUCUUAGAAAACUUAAGAAACAGGUCGAUCACAUUAAAAUAAUAACAGAC